rnacentral:rRNA from 1 species
UACGUAGGGGCCUAGCGUUGUCCGGAUUUAUUGGGCGUAAAGAGCUCGUAGGCGGUUCGGUUAGUCAGGUGUGAAAUCUCCACGCUCAACGUGGAGGGGCCACCUGAUACUGCCGUGACUCGAGUCCGGUAGGGGAGUGUGGAAUUCCCGGUGUAGCGGUGAAAUGCGCAGAGAUCGGGAGGAACACCCGUAGCGAAGGCGGCACUCUGGGCCGGUACUGACGCUGAGGAGCGAAAGCGUGGGGAGCAAACAGG